ACUGCAAGGGGGAGUACUGGUAGGCAAGGCCAUGGAGAUGGUGUAGCUUACCAUGCAUCUGUGUCCAGUAUCAGCUAUUCUUCUUUCGCCCCAGCUAGCAGCAGCCUGAUGCUCCAGCCUCCAGCUCCACAUUAAUUAUGAUCAUUCAUCUUGCAUUGUGUGCCUUUGGAACAAGUUCUUUCAGAUUUAAUCCUGUGCUGCGUCAUCUACUAGCUCAUCUGUGUCCAGUAUCUGCCUGCAGGUUAGUGAAUCAUUAGGAGGUUUUUCGUAGAGUGUACCAUACUACCACCUACUCUCUUUUUUUUUUGAGAGAACUACCACCUACUCUCAAUGAAAACGUGCAGCACGUACCACUUGUGCAAUUAAUCGCCUCCCUUGUUUGUUUGUUUGUUCUUUUAUUUAUUUUAUUAUUUUUGGGGUUGUCCAAUUUCGUUGUGCUACUUUGUUUCUACCAGAAUUUCUACUCAGUCCAAAUCACGGAAAAGCUUUUUUUUAGAGAAGCGUGAUGAGGUACUAUACGUACAAAUAAGCAAUAUAGAUUGUCUUCAGAAUUCUGAAGAAUAGCAUCGUUUUCAGAUCUCGGUACUGUCAACUCUGAAGGUAACUGAUGAACAGGUAAGAUAGCAUCUGUCUAUCUGUCUAUAUAUGCCAUAUACCUUUGGCUGGCUGUUAAAAAAAAAAAAAUUAAACCAUGCUGUGUAUUCGGAUCGUUUCUUCUAUCUUAAUAUAUUAAUUGACAGUUGACGCAUACAGUUAGUUGGAGAAAAGUGUACCUUGCUUUACUUCUAGCACGUGGGCAGAAUAAUAAAUUUGCAGAAAAUAAAUUUGGAGAAGUUAUGGAGUUUUUUAUGCACAUGAACAAUCUUGCAAUUGCAACUCAGUCGUCAUUCUCAUGUAAGAUAAUGAUGUGUUUAGUUUGAGGAGUCAUCUCAUGCUUCAUCAGAUGAUGCAUCAACUCAUCUCAUGAAUUUUGGUAAAAUCAACCUGUUACUUAUGUACGAGUAUAUACUAAUUACUAACUUAUGUGGGAUGAGUUGAUGAUGGAUAACUCAUUUCAUUCCACAAAUAAAAUAAAAUAAAAUAAAAAGUUGACGAGUAAGAAGAAUAUGGACUAUCUCAUUUCUCAAACUAAACACACCAAGGCCUUGUUUAGUUUACCCCGAAAACCAAAAAGUUUUUCAAGAUUCCCUGUUACAUCGAAUCUUAUGGCACAUGCAUGAAGCAUUAAAUAUAGACGAAAACAAAAACUAAUCACACAGUUUGACUGUAAAUCGCGAGACGAAUAUUUUGACCCUAGUUAAUUUAUGAUUAGACAAUAUUUACCACAAACAAACGAAAGUGCUACAGUAGCGAAAUCCAAAAGUUUUUCACAUCCCAAGAUAAACUUCGCCUAGCUACCUGCGCACCAUGCGUCCAUAUCCCAGUGCCCCAAGUUGGGCCAUCGAGACGUUAUUGGGCCGCAAAAUUCGUUUUAUUGGGUUGGGCCGCUGGUGCAUACCGGAGUUGUCCGGUUGUGGGACAGGGGUUCCCUUGUCAGGCAGAGCUCCCCCUCCGCCACCGCGCCGCGCUCGCCGCCACCGCCACCGCCGCCUCCCGUUCGUUCUCAAGGUUCUCUCCCCGCGACCGCUCCAAGUCCCAACCUCCAUCGACGGGGAGGCGUCCUCCAGUCGGGCCGGUUAGAUUCAUCGCCUUCCUUGUCGCUGGCCCUCGGCCUUUCCCUCUGCUGUUGUGGGUAGAAGCGACUCGCGCACGCGCUCGGCCAGCCGAUUAAAGCACGGGGCGGGGCCGUACGCAGGGGCGAGCGCGAGGGCUCUCUGGCGAGAAGGCGCCGAGGCACGCGAGGCUGCCGCCGUACUGAGUUUGCAGUCCGGGGCGUAGCAGUUUUUUGGCCCGGAGGUGUGGAAGCGGAGAGCGAUGGCUGCGCCGAGGAAGGGGACGGCGACGCCGCUGGGCGCCGUAUUCUCCCCGGAGGAGACGAAGAGAGCCGUGGCGAGGGUGUCCGAGUCCAUCGCUGGCCGCCGCGCCGAGCUCGGGCGCCUCCAGGGCUUCGUCGCCGACAACGCGGCCCUCGUCUCGCUCGUCAACAGGCUCCCCGACGAACUCUCUCACGAAAUCAUGGUCCUUACCCUCUCUCUCUCUCUAAGUCUGAACUAGCAGCAAUAUGUGUCUUCUUCUAGAGAUAAAUUUGGUAGCUCACCUGCUAUUUUCGAUUUCCACAUUUUUUUGGUGACAAAAGUUCGUAGUGGUAAUUUGUCUCCUCCAGUCGUCCACUUUUAAGCAUUGGGCGUAUUGUAGCUAUAGAUAAUGACUAGUAAGUUCAAUGACUAGAUUUACAUUCUCAAUUGAUUUCGGAGCUUGAGGAGAUUCCUUUUGUGGUUCUGAAGGGAAAUAUAAGUCUCUUAGGGCUUCCAAACCGCGCUGCAGUUCGCUGCGCCACAUAUGCGGCAUGCUGCAACUGCCAAAUGCCCUCGCCGCACAUCGCUGAACACUUGGCACGCGCCGUAACUGCUAGGCCAAAAAGCACGCCGCAGCUCGCCAACUCUGUGGCGGCUGUUUCGUCCGCUGAACUCUUGGCGUGACCACAGCUGUGGCGGGAGCCAAACGCGCCCUUAGUCUCACCUUGUGUGCUUUAAAUUUUUUUCAACAAGAUUUGGUUUUGUCUCAAAAGAGAACUAUGAAUUGCAGGUUCCCUUUGGCGGCGCCGCAUUUUUCCCAGGGCGUUUAAUACACACAAAUGAACUCUUGGUAUGGUUUCCACUGUGGAGCAGUUUUGAUUCAGCCCAUCAAUUUCUUGCUCAUGAUUUGCAUUGUGUCUUAGGUGCUGCUGGGUGAGGGGUACUAUGCAGAGAGGUCUGCUAAGCAGACGACUGAUAUAUUGCAUAGGAGGGGGCAGGAAUUGGAAGCUCAAGUCGAAGCAAUGAAGGCAACUAUCGCUGACCUUGAAGCUGAGGCGAAAUUCUUUGAGUCCACUGCCACCGAGGCUUCAGUAGGGUCCCUCUCUUAUUGGUUUUGUAUAUAUGAGUAAUGGUAGACUAGCGUUUUACUUGGCGACGCCGUGACGGUAACCAUUAUAUCAAUGUUGUGAAGUAUUAGUGGAUGGGAAGCUUAAGCUUUUGGGUUCACUUGGUUGGUGCAUGAAACCUAACAAUCAAUUCCCUUGAUAACCCUUGGUAAGGGGAAAAGAAAAAAAUGGUUAGUGAAUAACCACAUAUUUUUAUUGACACACAAACACAUAAUUGAAGUUAUGUGUCUCAGUAUGCAGACAAAUUUAGCACCAUGUGCUCAUUAGUUUUUGCUCAUGUGUUAAAUCGCACCCCUGGAAAAUUCUAUACUGCCUAAUGCCUACAGAUAUAAUACAAGUGAUGAUCUGACUAUAAGCAGUGUGCGUAUAGCAAUAUAUAACAUUGCAGACUUUAUACCACCUGAGCUACUUCUAUUAUUGAUCAGUUCACUGCAUUUUGUCUUAGCAGAAGUCAGUAAUAUUUCCAUCUUGGUGUUUCACCCUUAAGUAUUUGUGUGCACACUUGCAUUUAACUGGAUGAUUAACUAUGUUGAUGUGGGCAGGAGGGUCUUGUUGAAAUCAGGGAAGAGUACGAUGAGGACACAGAGACGAAUGCAUCAAAAUCAGGUAACCAUCUGGAAUUUUCUUUUAAUUAUCUAAUGUCAGUAAAGGCUUUUGAUGCUUUGUUGUUGUUGUUGUUGUUGUUAAGUUGUUACUAAUGGCUAUAAACUAAUAUGCUCUUAUCUUGUCUUCAUGAUUUGUUUCCCUUCUUAUGAGUUCUUAAUAUAUUUUAUGUCUAUGCUAACUUUCUUUUAAAUCCUUCUUGAAUGGUAAAAUAUAUUCUUGUUUAGCAAUCCUGGUUUGGUCAAGUUUAACUGAUCUUCCAGCAAGUUGAUCUGUCACUGUUUCAUUCCUCCAUCUAUCUUUACUUUUUUCAUAUAUGUUUUAGGCAUGACUUGAUGACUUGUUGUUCUGGUGAAAUUAUUAUUCUUCUCGGUGGUACAAAAUUGGCUACUAAACCUUUGUGCUUACAUGUAUAGCACUGUCUUGAAUCUUAUACUUUGACAUGACUUCUUUUUUUUCUUCUAACGUUUACUUCAGAGGCUUCAAUUGCUAGUGGGGUUAUGUCCGAUAAAGAUAGGGAACAUGCUCGAAUCAUUGCAAGGCUAGAUGAACUCGAAAGGGAAGAAAAGGAAGCUGGAAGUACUUCUGAAGAAGAUGACGAUGAUGAUGAUGAAGAUGAAGAUGAAGAUGAUGGAGAUGCUGGAACAAGUGAGGAUGGUGAGGAAAAUAAGGAACCUGGAAAUGCUUUAAGUGAUGGCAAUGAGAACCACAGUUCUAGUUUUGGCACUUCAUUUUCUGGAAGUGGUGGCAAUGAUAGGAGUCGUGGGAUUAUCAAGGUACUUGUUUCUCAAGCUAAUGUGACCUAUGAUAGUUUGGUUCAUUCACUGGAAUUAUUUAUUUUAAUCCUCUUACUAAUAGCUGAAGAGUGCACUGAAGAAGCCUGGAGGAGAUGAAAUGCUGAGAGGCAUUUCUCAUACACCAUCAGCCCAUACAUCUCAUCCAGUAUUUCCUGGCCAAACUUCUGUAUGUUGUUUAUCCUUCUUUGUCUACCUUCUGCAUUGUCUCUGAAUGAACUGCUUAUUAUUUGUUUAAAUUCCUUUGGUCACAACACUGUAUUUCUUCUUAUUCGCAGAUAACAAAUUCUGAUGUCCAAGUUCGCACUAAAGGUUAGUUCAGCUCUUGGUUGGAGACAACUUACUUGUAGCAUAGAAUUGACGCCUUCUUUGUGUAUUGUUGCUGGAGAUGGAACUGAACCUGAUUCUCUUGGUGCUUCAUCUGCUUUUUAUAAGUGUGUAUAAUUAUGUACCAUACUGCUGAUUUAUGUGUGACUAACACGUUCUACUUGCAGCUGUAUCUUUUGAAGACGACAAAUAUGUAGUUAGUUCGUCAAAGUCUCCUCCCCUGCUACUGGAUUCAAUACAGUCUGCUCCUGGGCUCGAGGUACCUUUGGCAGAGCUUUUAUUCAGUCCUUUGCCUGCAUUAGCCUCUCAGCAAGGGUUUCUAGUUAGUGCUCAAGUUCACUGUAGAAAGUGUGUACGGUGAACUUGAGCACUAACAUUAUUGUACAUGAAAAAAAGAGAGUGCUGGUUCCCAUGAAAGAGUUUAAGUAUAUACUUCAGAGUUAAGACAGAAAUACCUCAUGCUGCAAUUAUGUUUUUUUGCCAUUUGGAUGUACAUGGCCCUACUGUCUAAACAUCCCGUCUCCACUAACAUAUGUAUGUCAUAGUUUACUGUUACCCCCAUUGCUUCAAUC
rnacentral:lncRNA from 1 species